rnacentral:tRNA from 12 species
GCAUCUGUAGCUCAGCAGGAUAGAGCGUCCGCCUCCUAAGCGGAAGGUCGUGGGUUCGAAUCCCGUCAGGUGCACUA